UGGAGCAUGUGGUUUAAUUCGAAGCAACGCGAAGAACCUUACCAGGUCUUGACAUCCCGAUGCUAUUCUAGAGAUAGAAAGUUACUUCGGUACAUCGGUGACAGGUGGUGCAUGGUUGUCGUCAGCUCGUGUCGUGAGAUGUUGGGUUAAGUCCCGCAACGAGCGCAACCCCUAUCGUUAGUUGCCAUCAUUCAGUUGGGCACUCUAGCGAGACUCGGCCGGUAAAUAACCGGAGGAAGUGGGGAUGACGUCAAAUCAUCAUGCCCCUUAUGACCUGGGCUACACACGUGCUACAAUGGUUGGUACAAAGGGUCGCGAACCCGCGAGGGGGAGCCAAUCCCAAAAAGCCGCUCUCAGUUCGGAUUGCAGGCUGCAACUCGCCUGCAUGAAGCCGGAAUCGCUAGUAAUCGCGGAUCAGCAUGCCGCAGUGAAUACGUUCCCGGGCCUU
rnacentral:rRNA from 1 species